rnacentral:tRNA from 1 species
GCGCCCAUAGCUCAGUUGGUAGAGCAGCUGACUCUUAAUCAGUUUGUCCCAGGUUCGAAUCCUGGUGGGCGCA